GCCGACGUGGUGGAAUUGGUAGACGCGCUACCUUGAGGGGGUAGUGACCUUCGGGUCGUGUCGGUUCGAGUCCGACCGUCGGCACCA
rnacentral:tRNA from 1 species